rnacentral:rRNA from 1 species
AACGAACGCUGGCGGCAUGCUUAACACAUGCAAGUCGAACGAGACCUUCGGGGUUAGUGGCGCACGGGUGCGUAACGCGUGGGAACCUGCCCAUAGGUGCGGAAUAACUCCCCGAAAGGGGUGUUAAUACCGGAAAAGGUCUUUGGUCCAAUGAUUUAUCGCCUGUGGAUGGGCCCGCGUUGGAUUAGCUAGUUGGUAGAGUAAGAGCCUAUCAAGGCGUCGUUGCAUAGCUGGUGUGAGAGGAUGUACAGCCACACUGGGACUGAGACACGGCCCAGACUCCGACGGGAGGCAGCAGUGGGGGAUGAUAGACAAUGGGAGAAAGGCUGCUCCAGCGAUGCCGCGUGAGUGAUGGAGGCCUUAGGGUUGUAAAGCUCUUUUACCCGGGAUGAUAAUGACAGUACCGGGGGAAUAAGCCCCGGCUAACUCCGUG